rnacentral:lncRNA from 1 species
GUGGUGUGCGUGCAUUUAAUCUUUGAAGCACUUCUUAAACCAUAUUCUUUUAAAGUAAAUUAAUCACUGUAGUUGCUAGUAUCAAAAUACCUCGUUUUUACUUCUGUAAAACUUCAGUGAAUGAAAAUCGAAAUUAUGUCCAAAGGUGAAGUCAAACAUUUCCAGCCUAUAAAGACUCGUCUUGCUGCUGGAAAGAAGCCAGGGCAUGUGUCCGUGUUUACCUCACAGGCACUGGGUCGCACGCUCCUUUCACGCUGAUGUCAGAUUGGCAUGACACAUGGUCCUAGACACCAGGGGGCUUCAGGGGGCCAGGAGACCUCCAGCCCUACUCGCAGUAGCUGAUACAAUCCAC